AUUCCAGCUCCAAUAGCGUAUAUUAAAGUUGUUGUGGUUAAAAAGCUCGUAGUUGAGCCUUGGGCCUGGCUGGCCGGUCCGCCUCACCGCGUGUACUGGUCCGGCCGGGCCUUUCCCUCUGUGGAACCUCAUGCCCUUCACUGGGUGUGACGGGGAAACAGGACUUUUACUUUGAAAAAAUUAGAGUGCUCCAGGCAGGCCUAUGCUCGAAUACAUUAGCAUGGAAUAAUGAAAUAGGACGUGUGGUUCUAUUUUGUUGGUUUCUAGGACCGCAGUAAUGAUUAAUAGGGACAGUCGGGGGCAUCAGUAUUCAAUUGUCAGAGGUGAAAUUCUUGGAUUUAUUGAAGACUAACUACUGCGAAAGCAUUUACCAAGGAUGUUUUCAUCG
rnacentral:rRNA from 1 species